rnacentral:rRNA from 1 species
AGCUGCAGAAGAAGCACCGGCUAACUCCGUGCCAGCAGCCGCGGUAAUACGGAGGGUGCGAGCGUUAAUCGGAAUUACUGGGCGUAAAAGCGCAUGCAGGUGGUUUGUUUAAGUCAGAUGUGAAAGCCCGGGGCUCAACCUCGGAAUUGCAUUUGAAACUGGCAAACUAGAGUACUGUAGAGGGGGUAGAAUUUCAGGUGUAGCGGUGAAAAUGCGUAGAGAUCUGAAGGAAUACCGGUGGCGAAGGCGGCCCCCUGGACAGAUACUGACACUCAGAUGCGAAAGCGUGGGGAGCAAACAGGAUUAGAUACCCGGGUAG